GACGAACGCUGGCGACGUGCUUAACACAUGCAAGUCGAACGGAAAGGCCCUGCUUUUGUGGGGUGCUCGAGUGGCGAACGGGUGAGUAACACGUGAGUAACCUGCCCUUGACUUUGGGAUAACUUCAGGAAACUGGGGCUAAUACCGGAUCGGAGCUCCUGCUGCAUGGUGGGGGUUGGAAAGUUUCGGCGGUUGGGGAUGGACUCGCGGCUUAUCAGCUUGUUGGUGGGGUAGUGGCUUACCAAGGCUUUGACGGGUAGCCGGCCUGAGAGGGUGACCGGCCACAUUGGGACUGAGAUACGGCCCAGACUCCUACGGGAGGCAGCAGUGGGGAAUAUUGCACAAUGGGCGGAAGCCUGAUGCAGCAACGCCGCGUGCGGGAUGACGGCCUUCGGGUUGUAAACCGCUUUCGCCUGUGACGAAGCGUGAGUGACGGUAAUGGGUAAAGAAGCACCGGCUAACUACGUG
rnacentral:rRNA from 1 species